rnacentral:rRNA from 1 species
CGCACAGCGAAAGGUGCUUGCACCUUUCAAGUGAGUGGCGAACGGGUGAGUAACACGUGGACAACCUGCCUCAAGGCUGGGGAUAACAUUUGGAAACAGAUGCUAAUACCGAAUAAAACUUAGUGUCGCAUGACACAAAGUUAAAAGGCGCUUCGGCGUCACCUAGAGAUGGAUCCGCGGUGCAUUAGUUAGUUGGUGGGGUAAAGGCCUACCAAGACAAUGAUGCAUAGCCGAGUUGAGAGACUGAUCGGCCACAUUGGGACUGAGACACGGCCCAAACUCCUACGGGAGGCUGCAGUAGGGAAUCUUCCACAAUGGGCGAAAGCCUGAUGGAGCAACGCCGCGUGUGUGAUGAAGGCUUUCGGGUCGUAAAGCACUGUUGUAUGGGAAGAACAGCUAGAAUAGGAAAUGAUUUUAGUUUGACGGUACCAUACCAGAAAGGGACGGCUAAAUACGUGCCAGCAGCCGCGGUAAUACGUAUGUCCCGAGCGUUAUCCGGAUUUAUUGGGCGUAAAGCGAGCGCAGACGGUUUAUUAAGUCUGAUGUGAAAGCCCGGAGCUCAACUCCGGAAUGGCAUUGGAAACUGGUUAACUUGAGUGCAGUAGAGGUAAGUGGAACUCCAUGUGUAGCGGUGGAAUGCGUAGAUAUAUGGAAGAACACCAGUGGCGAAGGCGGCUUACUGGACUGCAACUGACGUUGAGGCUCGAAAGUGUGGGUAGCAAACAGGAUUAGAUACCCUGGUAGUCCACACCGUAAACGAUGAACACUAGGUGUUAGGAGGUUUCCGCCUCUUAGUGCCGAAGCUAACGCAUUAAGUGUUCCGCCUGGGGAGUACGACCGCAAGGUUGAAACUCAAAGGAAUUGACGGGGACCCGCACAAGCGGUGGAGCAUGUGGUUUAAUUCGAAGCAACGCGAAGAACCUUACCAGGUCUUGACAUCCUUUGA